rnacentral:rRNA from 1 species
UACGUAGGGGGCGAGCGUUGUCCGGAUUCAUUGGGCGUAAAGAGCUCGUAGGCGGUUCGGUAAGUCAGGUGUGAAAACUCCAGGCUCAACUUGGAGACGCCACCUGAUACUGUCGUGACUAGAGUCCGGUAGGGGAGCAUGGAAUUCCUGGUGUAGCGGUGAAAUGCGCAGAUAUCAGGAGGAACACCAGCGGCGAAGGCGGUGCUCUGGGCCGGAACUGACGCUGAGACGCGAAAGCGUGGGGAGCAAACAGG